UACGGGGGGGGCAAGCGUUGUUCGGAAUUACUGGGCGUAAAGGGCCAGUAGGCGGCCAACUAAGUCCGACGUGAAAUCCCAAGGCUUAACCUUGGAACUGCGUCGGAUACUGGAUGGCUUGAAUUCGGGAGAGGGAUGCAGAAUUCCAGGUGUAGCGGUGAAAUGCGUAGAUAUCUGGAGGAAUACCGGUGGCGAAGGCGGCAUCCUGGACCGACAUUGACGCUGAACGGCGAAAGCUAAGGGGAGCGAAACAGG
rnacentral:rRNA from 1 species